AACGAACGCUGGCGGCGUGGAUAAGACAUGCAAGUCGAACGAGAGAAUUGCUAGCUUGCUAGUAAUUCUCUAGUGGCGCACGGGUGAGUAACACGUGAGUAACCUGCCCCCGAGAGCGGGAUAGCCCUGGGAAACUGGGAUUAAUACCGCAUAGUAUCGAAAGAUUAAAGCAGCAAUGCGCUUGGGGAUGGGCUCGCGGCCUAUUAGUUAGUUGGUGAGGUAACGGCUCACCAAGGCGAUGACGGGUAGCCGGUCUGAGAGGAUGUCCGGCCACACUGGAACUGAGACACGGUCCAGACACCUACGGGUGGCAGCAGUCGAGAAUCAUUCACAAUGGGGGAAACCCUGAUGGUGCGACGCCGCGUGGGGGAAUGAAGGUCUUCGGAUUGUAAACCCCUGUCAUGUGGGAGCAAAUUAAAAAGAUAGUACCACAAGAGGAAGAGACGGCUAACUCUGUGCCAGCAGCCGCGGUAAUACAGAGGUCUCAAGCGUUGUUCGGAAUCACUGGGCGUAAAGCGUGCGUAGGCUGUUUCGUAAGUCGUGUGUGAAAGGCGCGGGCUCAACCCGCGGACGGCACAUGAUACUGCGAGACUAGAGUAAUGGAGGGGGAACCGGAAUUCUCGGUGUAGCAGUGAAAUGCGUAGAUAUCGAGAGGAACACUCGUGGCGAAGGCGGGUUCCUGGACAUUAACUGACGCUGAGGCACGAAGGCCAGGGGAGCGAAAGAGAU
rnacentral:rRNA from 1 species